UAAUAGUGUAUAUUAAAGUUGUUGCAGUUAAAAAGCUCGUAGUUGAAUGUUGGUGUCGAACGAGCGGUCAGCUUCGGCUGUACUGCUCUCUCGACUCCUUCCUUCUGUGGACUACGUCGCACUUUACUGUGUGGCGCUAGGACGCAGAUCGUUUACUGUGAAAAAAUUAGAGUGUUCAAAGCAGGCCUUUGCUUGAAUACAUUAGCAUGGAAUAAUGGAAUAGGACUUUUGUUCUAUUUUGUUGGUUUCUAGGACAGAAGUAAUGAUUAAUAGGGACAGUUGGGGGCAUUAGUAUUUAAUUGUCAGAGGUGAAAUUCUUGGAUUUAUGAAAGACUAACUACUGCGAAAGCGUUUGCCAAGGAUGUUUNCAUUAA
rnacentral:rRNA from 1 species